rnacentral:rRNA from 1 species
UACGGAGAGUGCAAGCGUUGUUCGGAAUUAUUGGGCGUAAAGCGCAUGUAGGCGGCUUAGCAAGUCCACAAGUGAAAGCCCUCGGCUCAACCGAGGAAGUGCUUUGGAAACUGCUAGGCUUGAGUCCUGGAGGGGCAGGUGGAAUUCCCGGUGUAGAGGUGAAAUUCGUAGAUAUUGGGAGGAACACCAGUGGCGAAGGCGGCCUGCUGGACAGUGACUGACGCUGAGAUGCGAAAGCGCGGGGAGCAAACAGG